CCUUUAGAGAUAGAGGAGUGCUCGAAAGAGAGCCGUAACACAGGUGCUGCAUGGCUGUCGUCAGCUCGUGUCGUGAGAUGUUGGGUUAAGUCCCGCAACGAGCGCAACCCUUGUCAUUAGUUGCUACAUUCAGUUGGGCACUCUAAUGAGACUGCCGGUGACAAACCGGAGGAAGGUGGGGAUGACGUCAAGUCCUCACGGCCCUUAUAGGUGGGGCUACACACGUCAUACAAUGGAUGGUACAAAGGGUCGCCAACCCGCGAGGGGGAGCCAAUCCCAUAAAGCCAUUCGUAGUCCGGAUCGCAGUCUGCAACUCGACUGCGUGAAGUCGGAAUCGCUAGUAAUCGUGGAUCAGAAUGUCACGGUGAAUACGUUCCCGGGUCUU
rnacentral:rRNA from 1 species